rnacentral:lncRNA from 1 species
GGGUUCUGGACAGACCUACGCUGUCGGGGAGUGUUUACUUCGCCUCCACUUCUGUUCCUCCCCGCCCUGGUGCUGCUCCAGGUCACAUACUCUUCCUGAGCCGGCUUCAGCCUCUCCGCGCAGAAGUCUCCCGGAGCCAUGGCCUAGUAUUCUUAUGUGAAGUCUACCAAGCUUGUGCUCAAGGGAACCGAGGUGAAGAGCUGGGUCCUGCAGCUCCGGCGGGAGCCUCCUCAGUUCUUUUCGGACGCACUCCACCCCCGCGAAUCCGGUGGAAGCCGUGAUGCGGAGAGCCGGCUUCGUGGCCUCCCAGGCUUCGCUCUGACCCUGUCUGGGCUGGAUGGAGGCCGGACCGCCCUUCCUGGCGCCUGUGCAGAGAGGGGCAGCCUCCUGCGCGGACGACCCUGGAAACAGGAUAGACGGGCGGGUGACCCGUGACCCCGUACCCACGAGUUUGGGUCCCUUGAGGCAUCUCUCCAGGCCUCUGCCUGAUUUGCCUGAGGUUGACUGUACAUGCAAAUAUUGAGCUUUCCUCCUGGCCUCCGUGAUAAACAGAAGUUUUGAUAUUGUUAGGCGAGAUGGAAAGAAAGUAUCAAGGAGUGAGCUGAAGCCACUGCCCUUGAGAACCCUCUCGAGGAGUCUGGCCUCAUGAAGAUGCCAGAAUAAAUGGCAGGUAUAUCCUGAAUGAAUGUGAGAUUUUUACUCUGUGAAUUU